CCUACGGGUGGCAGCAGUGAGGAAUAUUGGUCAAUGGACGAGAGUCUGAACCAGCCAAGUCGCGUGAAGGAUGACUGCCCUAUGGGUUGUAAACUUCUUUUAUAUGGGAAUAAAAUGUUCCACGUGUGGGCUUUUGUAUGUACCAUAUGAAUAAGGAUCGGCUAACUCCGUGCCAGCAGCCGCGGUAAUACGGAGGAUCCGAGCGUUAUCCGGAUUUAUUGGGUUUAAAGGGAGCGUAGGUGGAUUGUUAAGUCAGUUGUGAAAGUUUGCGGCUCAACCGUAAAAUUGCAGUUGAAACUGGCAGUCUUGAGUACAGUAGAGGUAGGCGGAAUGCGUGGUGGAGCGGUGAAAUGCUUAGAGAUCACGAAGAACUCCGAUUGCGAAGGCAGCUCACUGGACUGCAACUGACACUGAGGCUCGAAAGUGUGGGUAUCAAACAGGAUUAGAUACCCUGGUAGUC
rnacentral:rRNA from 1 species